AUACGGAGGGUGCAAGCGUUACUCGGAAUCACUGGGCGUAAAGCGCGCGCAGGCGGUCUUUUAAGUUGGAUGUGAAAGCCUACGGCUCAACCGUAGAACUGCAUCCAAAACUGUCAGUCUAGAGUGUGGGAGAGGAAGAUGGAAUUAGUUGUGUAGGGGUAAAAUCCGUAGAGAUAACUAGGAAUACCAAAAGCGAAGGCAAUCUUCUGGAACACUACUGACGCUGAGGCGCGAAGGCGUGGGGAGCAAACAGGAUUAGAAACCCCGGUAGUCC
rnacentral:rRNA from 1 species